rnacentral:rRNA from 1 species
UACGUAGGGACCAAGCGUUGUUCGGAUUUACUGGGCGUAAAGGGCGCGUAGGCGGCGUGUCAAGUCAAUUGUGAAAUCUCCGGGCUUAACUCGGAACGGUCAAUUGAUACUGAUGUGCUAGAGUGCAGAAGGGGCAAUCGGAAUUCUUGGUGUAGCGGUGAAAUGCGCAGAUAUUAGGAAGAACACCGGUGGCGAAGGCGGCUCUCUGGAACGGUACUGACGCUGAGACGCGAAAGCGUGGGGAGCGAACAGG